rnacentral:rRNA from 1 species
CAGCGCGCGGGAAUACGUAGGGUGCAAGCGUUAAUCGGAAUUACUGGGCGUAAAGCGCACGUAGGCGGAUCAGAAAGUCAGAGGUGAAAUCCCAGGGCUCAACCUUGGAACUGCCUUUGAAACUCCUGGUCUUGAGGUCGAGAGAGGUGAGUGGAAUUCCAAGUGUAGAGGUGAAAUUCGUAGAUAUUCGGAGGAACACCAGUGGCGAAGGCGGCUCACUGGCUCGAUACUGAUGCUGAGGUGCGAAAGCGUGGGGAGCAAACAGGAUUAGAUACCCGCGUAGUCCCUGUCUCUUAUACAC